GUACUCGCUUCGACGGUACAUAUAUACUAAAAUUGGAACGAUACAGAGAAUAUUAGCAUGGCCCCUGCGCAAGGAUGACACGCAAAAUCCUAAAGCGUUCCACAUACCG